UACGAAGGGGGCUAGCGUUGCUCGGAAUCACUGGGCGUAAAGCGCACGUAGGCGGAUUGUUAAGUCAGGGGUGAAAUCCUGGAGCUCAACUCCAGAACUGCCUUUGAUACUGGCGAUCUUGAGUCCGGGAGAGGUGAGUGGAACUGCGAGUGUAGAGGUGAAAUUCGUAGAUAUUAGGAAGAACACCAGUGGCGAAGGCGGCUCACUGGCCCGGUACUGACGCUGAGGCGCGAAAGCGUGGGGAGCAAACAGG
rnacentral:rRNA from 1 species